UUGUCCCGUAUAACAAAUUACAGUUUACUUUCGUUUUUUGGAAAAGAGAGAUUGGAUUGCCUCUUCCCGAUUGGGUUCCUUGAAAGAUUUCCGAAAGAAAACUCACAGCAGUUGACAUGGUUGAAGUCAUGGAAGAAGAUGACCUCUCUUUAGAAUGUAUUGAAACAAGUAACACAGAUGCAUGGACAGCAAGUGAUUACAAAAAUCACACCAAACAGGAAUCUCCCAUAAGAUUAGGUAAAGCAUCUCCAACAGCAGUUGAAGAUAUGGAUGAGUUAACGUACUUAGAUUGUCAUGCUAGUGUUCAGUCUACAGGGCAGACCCCACCAGACAGAGAGA